rnacentral:pre_miRNA from 1 species
CCAGGAGGCAGAGGUUGCAGUGAGCUGAGAUCCUGCCACUGCACUCCAGCCUGAGUAACAAGAGUGAAACUCCAUCUCAAAAAAAUAAAAUAAAAUAAAAUAAUUUAUUUUACUUUGAGAUGGAGUCUUGCUCUGUCGCCAGGCUGGAGUGCAGUGGCAGGAUCUUGGCUCACUGCAGCCUCCGCCUCCUGA